rnacentral:rRNA from 1 species
UACAGAGGUCCCAAGCGUUGUUCGGAUUUAUUGGGCGUAAAGGGCGUGUAGGCGGUCAAGUAAGUGGGAUGUGAAAUCCCUCGGCUCACCCGAGGACCUGCAUCCCAAACUGCUUGGCUUGAGUAUGGGAGAGGAUGAGGGAAUUCCUGGUGUAGCGGUGAAAUGCGUAGAUAUCAGGAGGAACACCGGUGGCGAAGGCGCUCAUCUGGCCCAAUACUGACGCUGAGGCGCGAAAGCUAGGGGAGCAAACGGG